UACGUAGGGUGCGAGCGUUGUCCGGAAUUACUGGGCGUAAAGAGUUCGUAGGCGGUUUGUCGCGUCGUUCGUGAAAACUUGGGGCUUAACUCCAAGCGUGCGGGCGAAACGGGCAGACUUGAGUACUACAGGGGAGACUGGAAUUCCUGGUGUAGCGGUGAAAUGCGCAGAUAUCGGGAAGAACACCCGUGGCGAAGGCGGUUCUCUGGGACGGUACUGACGCUGAGACGCGAAAGCGUGGGGAGCGAACAGG
rnacentral:rRNA from 1 species